rnacentral:lncRNA from 1 species
AUCUUUAUUAUUUGUUGUUCAUUUGUUGGACAUAAUAGGUCGCCUAAAGAUCUGCAACUCUUUCUACAUUUUCGCAAACCCUAAUACCGAAGUACGUGGGAAUCGAUUGACUGAGAAAAUAUACAUUUAGAUAUUUCAAGAUGAUAACAAAAUGGAUUAGACAGCAGGACUGUGAGCACGCUAAAGGAAAGAAA